rnacentral:rRNA from 1 species
AUGCUGCGUUGGGUUUGGCGGAUCUUGCGGGGAGAUGGGGGUUUGUGGUUGCAGCUGAUUGAGUCCAAGUACUUGCAGGGACAACCCCUCCUGGCUUGCGCUCACUCGGCUGGGUCCCAGUUCUGGAAAUUUAUUCAGGCCAUCAAGGAAGAGAUUAGGAUGGGUUUGCGUUUCUCAGUUGGCAAUGGGUAUGGGACCCAGUUUUGGUUGGACGCCUGGCUGGAGGGCGAGCCUCUCCGCUUGCGGUUCCCGAGGCUCUUUGUGAAUAGUGACGACCCGACCAUCCUUGUUUCUGCGGCUGCUUUGGAUGAGGGAUGGAACAUUGCGUUCUGCCGCACAUUCGGACCAGGUGAGGUAUGGGAAUGGACAGACCUGAGGGAAGUAGUCCCUCUUCCUCUAUCCCAGGACCCUCACACUGUUUCUUGGAGCCUUUCUCCUUCGGGUGAAAUAUCUGUUAGUUCAGCCUACCAGGCUUUAUGUCGUGUGCCGGUUCUACAGUGGCUAUCCCUACUGUGGAAGGCACCGAUGCCCUUGAAGAUUAAUAUCUUCAUAUGGCAGCUUCUACGAGAUCGUCUCCCUUCGGGGACCGAGGUGCUGAAACGCCAUGGUCCAUUUUGUUUUCUUGCGUAG